rnacentral:lncRNA from 1 species
AUAACAAUUAAAGUUUAUACAGUUAAAGUAAAUAAUUGUAUAUAAGAAUUAUUUUUUAAUUAUAUUUACUUAAUGUGGUGAGGUUGGGCACAUGGGAGGUCAGAAGACAACUUGCAGUAGUCCAUUCCAUUUUCUACCAUGUAGAACCCAGGUUUGGAACCAUGUGGUCAGCCUUGGUGUCUUUACCCACUGAGCAGUUUACUAGUUACUUAUUUUGUUGUUCAUUUUUUAUUUGCUUGUUUGUUUUUGUUCUUAAAUUUCAUUCCCAUCCUCUCCAGUACUUUUUAACUGGCAGGUCCCAAAUUCUAACAUAAUACUGAAAGAUAUUGCCACUUCUUUUUAUAAUAACAAGAUAAAAAAAAGUUGAUAUAGUCAAACCAUUUAGAUACAUAAUUACAACCCUAUUUGAUUUGUUACAUAAAAAAAUUAACCUUAACUAUUUUUUCCAUCACCUCCCCAUGAGAUAGAGCUAAGAGGCAGUUCUUUAUUUCACAAGCAUGAGUAUUAGACAGGACAGAGUACAUUAGAAAUAAGAGUUAAGCAUGGGCCCUGCUCUUGAGGCACUCAUAGUCCACUGAAGAAACCGUUACAACAUGCUAGUAUGAGAACCCACAUCCACAACUGUAUUAAACAGGAAAUGUGGACAUGACUAGUCAUCAUAGCAGAUCUUGAAUAUUCCACUUACAUUGACCUCUAUAUCAGUAACUGAACAAUAUAUGAUUGAUGGAGGUAAAGAAUAGGCAUCAUAAUUCAAAUUAGCAAAGUCUUACUAGUUAAUAUCCUGAUAGUAAUAGGCACUCCGCAAAGCAGCGUGUCUCCUUGAUUUCAUUUUACUACCCAGGAAAGUUACAAGGGAAAUUUGAACUUUGGUCCAUAAUGAACUAUAUAUCGAAGCAUCAUUCUAAGUCCUUUGUUGGCAUCAAGUUUUACUGUGUAAGGAGAGAGGUUCCCAGUACUUACCUUUCUGACUCUAAAAAGAACAUCAACAUGAUUGAAAUAAAUGAGGUGUAUUCUAAGAAGUUAUAAUUUGCACUGAGGCCUUCUCCAUCUUAAAGUUAUUUCAUCUGUUCUUCUCUAUACUUUAUGUAGAAUCUGGUAGGAAAAAAAAGCUUAGUUUUCCUUUUUUUUGGCUGUUCUCCUGUCUCCUGUUUGUUGUUGUGAUAGCCAGCAGCCAUUUAAUGGUUAAAAAAAAACAACCAAACAAAAAUGCCCCCUUAAAAUAGUUCAGAUAACACAAGGUGAGGUGAGGAAUAUGGAAAAGUGUUAUUCAUCUAACUAAAAGGGUGUUUAUGUUUGCUGAGGAUGGUGGAGUCCGGUUAGAACAAGAGAGGUUUUGUUUUGUUUUGUUUUGUUUUGUUUUGUUUUUUUCAGUUUCCGUUUUUUGCUUUCUUCACUUUUUGCUUUGCUUCUUUACUGUAUCGUCCGCACAAUAGAACAUCCCUCUCUGUUUCCUUGUGUCUCUCAUCUUCCUUUGUCUUUUCAAAUUGCCCAAGUACCACUUUGGCCUCAGCUCUACAGGAACCCUGUGAUGCCAGAUUUACUGCUGCUUUACUGCUGUCUUCAGAGAAAGCCCAGCAAAACUGUCUGUUUGUUGGUUAACUUUUCCUGAGUUAGAUGGUCAUAGCCAGUUCAGAAUAGUUAAAUGGGGAACCUUGUUCUCUAAUACAUGAAACAGAAUUGAUUCAUGCCUCAGUGAUGUUGUUAUAAUGUGUUAUAUAAUGUAUUAUGAGGGAUUCGUGAUAAAUGCAUGUCAGAUGACUUUGGGAAGACUGAAGCAGUGUAUUAUGAAUUUAACUGUUAGUAAAUUGUGUUAGAGAUGGAAACAUUGAUUUCUGGCUGUUUUGGUCUGUCUAUCAGCAUGAGCUGGUAAGAAAUAACUCUUCUGAUAUCUGCUCACCUAAUAAGGCAUGACUUUUGGUAAGACUCAACAACUAAGUGUCUGCUUCUUCACCUCUAACUCAGGCUGUCAUCAACCACUCGGCCACCUUGGAUAAAGAUGUAAUAGAAGGCGAUGUGUGUUCCCCACCAUCAUGGUUCUGAGGAUCAUAGAAUUUUCAUUUUAUUCAUGAUCCAGAACUAUUUUGACGAUAAGAAUAUUAUUAAGCAGGGUGUUAUUAAGGUGCUUCUUUCAGUUAUGACGAGAGGAAUAAAAGCAUGGAUCACAAAUGUGAUUUAACUGAGGAUAAUAUUUACUUUAUGUAGAUAGGAGCAAAGAAAUGUCAUCAUAGGAGGCUGCCACCUCUCUCAGUCAGAUGUUUGCAAUGGAUAAUCCUCGAUGCUGGUAUUCUAUUCUAAGAGGGAGAAUCAGGAAGGAGGUUGGAAGCACUGCCAGUUCUGUUUCUCUACUGUGGUGGGAAUAAUGGAGAAACAGUCUCAAAAUGUUCUGUGUUUGUGAAAGGCGGGCAUACACAUAUAUACACACAAACACUUACAUACGUAUGCAAAUACACAAAUACAUAUACCCAAGAUUUCUUACUUGAAGAGAGGGGACUUAGUGCAGUCCAGACAGAAUGGCCUUUGAAAUUAAGAUAAAUGUAGAUUCAAAAGUCAAAACUAAAAUCAUUUUUAAUGGAUAUAACCUUGGAAACUGAGCUGACCUGUGACCUUCAGGUUUUCUACCUGUACUGUGCAGGAACAGGGCUCAGCACUCAUAUAUUCAGUAAGUGAUGGAUACAGUUAGGAUUAUACAGGCUCCUGAUGGUCCUGGCCCUGAGAACUUGCUCAGUCAGGUAGAGGUAGUGGAAUGGUGGGUAGCUACAGAGUGUAUUGACAGUAGGAAAACUUCUCCAACACUAUUAUCAGUCUAAGACGUUAAUUACUGUGCUUCACUGUAGCACUUUCUGGGCCAUAGUCUGUGAGUUCUGAUGAAAAGGGACCUGUUUAGGCCUACCACGUAAGAUGCGUCACAGGAAGUUUAAGUUGAAGAAUGAAGAUUAAAAGCUCAGUGAUUCAUUUUAGGUGGCUCAAAGAGAGCAUUUAACAUGGAUUCAAGCUUUGAGCAUAGGCACAGAACAGAAAUUAGCAAAGUCUUAAUAGUUAAUAUCCUGAUAGUAACAGGCAUCCCGCAAAGCAGCUGUCUCCUUGAUUUCAUUUUACUACCCAGGAAAGUCCUAUGAUGUAGUUGAAAUUACUUAAGAAGCUGCAUAAUUUACUGAAGGUCAAUCUUGGUUGUCAGCUUGACACACCUGAGAAAAGGGAACCUCCAUUGAAUAAUUGCUUCCAUCAGACUGGCCAUAGGCAUAUCUGUGUGGCAUUUUCUUGAUUGAUAAUUGAUGUAAGAAGGUCUAGCCCACUGUGGGUAUUACAUCCCUAGGCAUGUGGGCCUGGGCUGUAUU